GGCUGGUCCGAAGGUAGUGAGAUCUCACAAUGAUUGCUUACAGUCAAUUACUGGUCGACCUAUUUGUCUACCCCCCCACCCCCACCUCCCCGCCCCACUACUGCACUUGACUAGUCUAAA
rnacentral:Y_RNA from 1 species